rnacentral:rRNA from 1 species
CAGUCGCCGCGGUAAAACGGAGGGAGCUAGCGUUGUUCGGAAUUACUGGGCGUAAAGCGCACGUAGGCGGCUUUGUAAGUUAGAGGUGAAAGCCUGGAGCUCAACUCCAGAAUUGCCUUUAAGACUGCAUCGCUUGAAUCCGAGAGAGGUGAGUGGAAUUCCGAGUGUAGAGGUGAAAUUCGUAGAUAUUCGGAAGAACACCAGUGGCGAAGGCGGCUCACUGGCUCGGUAUUGACGCUGAGGUGCGAAAGCGUGGGGAGCAAACAGGAUUAGAUACCCCUGUAGUCCCUGUCUCUUAUAC